GCCCAGACUCCUACGGGAGGCAGCAGUGGGGAAUAUUGCACAAUGGGGGAAACCCUGAUGCAGCGACGCCGCGUGAGUGAAGAAGUAUUUCGGUAUGUAAAGCUCUAUCAGCAGGGAAGAAGCAGACGGUACCUGACUAAGAAGCCCCGGCUAACUACGUGCCAGCAGCCGCGGUAAUACGUAGGGGGCAAGCGUUAUCCGGAUUUACUGGGUGUAAAGGGAGCGUAGACGGCUAAGCAAGUCUGAAGUGAAAGCCCGGGGCUUAACCCCGGGACUGCUUUGGAAACUGUUAAGCUAGAGUGCUGGAGAGGUAAGUGGAAUUCCUAGUGUAGCGGUGAAAUGCGUAGAUAUUAGGAGGAACACCAGUGGCGAAGGCGGCUUACUGGGCAGUAACUGACGUUGAGGCUCGAAAGCGUGGGGAGCAAACAGGAUUAGAUACCCCCGUAA
rnacentral:rRNA from 1 species